UACGGAGGGUGCAAGCGUUAUCCGGAUUCACUGGGUUUAAAGGGUGCGUAGGCGGGCAGGUAAGUCAGUGGUGAAAUCUUCAAGCUUAACCUGGAAACUGCCAUUGAUACUAUCUGUCUUGAAUGUUCUGGAGGUUAGCGGAAUAUGUCAUGUAGCGGUGAAAUGCUUAGAUAUGACACAGAACACCGAUUGCGAAGGCAGCUCACUAAACUGUUACUGACACUGAGGCACGAAAGCGUGGGGAUCAAACAGG
rnacentral:rRNA from 1 species